ensembl:misc_RNA 7SK 7SK RNA
GCAGGUAAGGGCAAUCUGGCUGUAACUUCUGACACCCCACCGAUUGUCAACAUGGAUUCCACUGGUCUGGCUGGCUAGGUUGGUGUGUCCUUUCUCUCUCACCAGUUCAUGUCUGUCCCACCAAAACUCUGUCUCGGCUGAAGAAGACAAGCUUCCCAAUAGAAGACCAGUUUUUAGUCCAGUCCCUGCCUAGGACCGUCAAACAAGUUCUUAAGAAACAGACUGGAAGGAUUAUGAAGUUAAAAAAAAAAAAAAGAAUGAAAGAAAAGAAAAGAAACAGGCUUCACAU